rnacentral:rRNA from 1 species
UACGUAGGGUGCGAGCGUUAAUCGGAAUUACUGGGCGUAAAGCGUGCGCAGGCGGUUUUGUAAGCCAGAUGUGAAAUCCCCGGGCUUAACCUGGGAAUGGCAUUUGGGACUGCAAGGCUCGAGUGCGGCAGAGGAGACUGGAAUUCCUGGUGUAGCAGUGAAAUGCGUAGAUAUCAGGAGGAACACCGAUAGCGAAGGCAGCUCGCUGGGCCGAUACUGACGCUGAGGAGCGAAAGCGUGGGGAGUGAACAGG